GACGAACGCUGGCGGCGUGCCUAAUACAUGCAAGUAGAACGCUGGAGGAGGAGCUUGCUUCUCUGGAUGAGUUGCGAACGGGUGAGUAACGCGUAGGUAACCUGCCUGGUAGCGGGGGAUAACUAUUGGAAACGAUAGCUAAUACCGCAUAAUAGCAGUUGUUGCAUGAUAACUGUUUGAAAGGUGCAAUUGCACCACUACCAGAUGGACCUGCGUUGUAUUAGCUAGUUGGUGGGGUAACGGCUCACCAAGGCGACGAUACAUAGCCGACCUGAGAGGGUGAUCGGCCACACUGGGACUGAGACCCGGCCCAGACUCCUACGGGAGGCAGCAGUAGGGAAUCUUCGGCAAUGGACGGAAGGCUGACCGAGCAACGCCGCGUGAGUGAAGAAGGUUUUCGGAUCGUAAAGCUCUGUUGUAAGAGAAGAACGAGUGUGAGAGUGGAAAGUUCACACUGUGACGGUAUCUUACCAGAAAGGGACGGCUAACUACGUG
rnacentral:rRNA from 1 species